rnacentral:rRNA from 1 species
ACGCGAAGAACCUUACCAGGUCUUGACAUCCUCUGACACUCCUAGAGAUAGGACGUUCCCCUUCGGGGGACAGAGUGACAGGUGGUGCAUGGUUGUCGUCAGCUCGUGUCGUGAGAUGUUGGGUUAAGUCCCGCAACGAGCGCAACCCUUGAUCUUAGUUGCCAGCAUUAAGUUGGGCACUCUAAGGUGACUGCCGGUGACAAACCGGAGGAAGGUGGGGAUGACGUCAAAUCAUCAUGCCCCUUAUGACCUGGGCUACACACGUGCUACAAUGGAUGGUACAAAGGGCAGCAAAGCGGCGACGCCUAGCAAAUCCCAUAAAACCAUUCUCAGUUCGGAUUGUAGGCUGCAACUCGCCUACAUGAAGCUGGAAUCGCUAGUAAUCGCGGAUCAGCAUGCCGCGGUGAAUACGUUCCCGGGCCUUGCACUCACCGCCCGU